rnacentral:tRNA from 2 species
GGUUCUGUGGUCUAGCGGUAUGAUUCUCGCUUAGGGUGCGAGAGGCCCCGGGUUCAAGUCCCGGCAGAGCCC